rnacentral:rRNA from 1 species
UGAACGCUGGCGGCGUGCCUAAUACAUGCAAGUCGAGCGAACAGAUGAGGAGCUUGCCCCUCUGACGUUAGCGGCGGACGGGUGAGUAACACGUGGAUAACCUACCUAUAAGACUGGGAUAACUACGGGAAACCGGAGCUAAUACCGGAUAAUAUAUUGAACCGCAUGGUUCAAUAGUGAAAGACGGUUUUGCUGUCACUUAUAGAUGGAUCCGCGCCGCAUUAGCUAGUUGGUAAGGUAACGGCUUACCAAGGCAACGAUGCGUAGCCGACCUGAGAGGGUGAUCAGCCACACUGGAACUGAGACACGGUCCAGACUCCUACGGGAGGCAGCAGUAGGGAAUCUUCCGCAAUGGGCGAAAGCCUGACGGAGCAACGCCGCGUGAAUGAUGAAGGUCUUCGGAUCGUAAAACUCUGUUAUUAGGGAAGAACAAAUGUGUAAGUAACUAUGCACGUCUUGACGGUACCUAAUCAGAAAGCCACGGCUAACUACGUG